CAGUAGCCGCGGUAAUACGUAGGGUGCAAGCGUUAAUCGGAAUUACUGGGCGUAAAGCGUGCGCAGGCGGUUUUGUAAGACAGAUGUGAAAUCCCCGGGCUCAACCUGGGAACUGCCUUUGUGACUGCAAGGCUAGAGUACGGCAGAGGGGGAUGGAAUUCCGCGUGUAGCAGUGAAAUGCGUAGAUAUGCGGAGGAACACCGAUGGCGAAGGCAAUCCCCUGGGCCUGUACUGACGCUCAUGCACGAAAGCGUGGGGAGCAAACAGGAUUAGAUACCCCAGUAGUCCCUGUCUCUUAUAC
rnacentral:rRNA from 1 species